UCUGCUUCUCAGCCUUUUGGCUAACAUUAAGUGUAAUAUCUGUUCUUAUCAGCUUAAUAUCUGACGUGUCCUCUAUCUGAGGACAAUAUUUAAAUGGAUUUUUGGAGCUGGGAGAUGGAAUACGAGCUUGCUCUGCCCACUCCGCACAUCCACCAGGUGUUGCAGUACUUCCAGGAAUGGUGCACAAGAA